rnacentral:rRNA from 1 species
AGGGGGGGGUGCUACAAUGCAGUCGAACGAGUUCUCGUUGAUGAUCGGUGCUUGCACCGAGAUUCAACAUGGAACGAGUGGCGGACGGGUGAGUAACACGUGGGUAACCUGCCCUUAAGUGGGGGAUAACAUUUGGAAACAGAUGCUAAUACCGCAUAGAUCCAAGAACCGCAUGGUUCUUGGCUGAAAGAUGGCGUAAGCUAUCGCUUUUGGAUGGACCCGCGGCGUAUUAGCUAGUUGGUGAGGUAAUGGCUCACCAAGGCGAUGAUACGUAGCCGAACUGAGAGGUUGAUCGGCCACAUUGGGACUGAGACACGGCCCAAACUCCUACGGGAGGCAGCAGUAGGGAAUCUUCCACAAUGGACGCAAGUCUGAUGGAGCAACGCCGCGUGAGUGAAGAAGGCUUUCGGGUCGUAAAACUCUGUUGUUGGAGAAGAAUGGUCGGCAGAGUAACUGUUGUCGGCGUGACGGUAUCCAACCAGAAAGCCACGGCUAACUACGUGCCAGCAGCCGCGGUAAUACGUAGGUGGCAAGCGUUAUCCGGAUUUAUUGGGCGUAAAGCGAGCGCAGGCGGUUUUUUAAGUCUGAUGUGAAAGCCCU